rnacentral:rRNA from 1 species
CCUACGGGAGGCAGCAGUGAGGAAUAUUGGUCAAUGGGCGCAAGCCUGAACCAGCCAAGUAGCGUGAAGGAUGACUGCCCUACGGGUUGUAAACUUCUUUUAUAAAGGAAUAAAGUGAGGCACGUGUGCCUUUUUGUAUGUACUUUAUGAAUAAGGAUCGGCUAACUCCGUGCCAGCAGCCGCGGUAAUACGGAGGAUCCGAGCGUUAUCCGGAUUUAUUGGGUUUAAAGGGAGCGUAGAUGGGUUGUUAAGUCAGUUGUGAAAGUUUGUGGCUCAACCGUAAAAUUGCAAUUGAUACUGGGAGGCUUGAGUACAGUUGAGGUAGGCGGAAUUCGUGGUGUAGCGGUGAAAUGCUUAGAUAUCACGAAGAACCCCGAUUGCGAAGGCAGCCUGCUAAACUGUCACUGACAUUGAUGCUCGAAAGUGUGGGGAUCAAACAGGAUUAGAUACCCUUGUAGUC